GAUGUCUACUAGCCGUUGGGGCCCUUGAGGCUUUAGUGGCGCAGCUAACGCGAUAAGUAGACCGCCUGGGGAGUACGGUCGCAAGACUAAAACUCAAAUGAAUUGACGGGGGCCCGCACAAGCGGUGGAGCAUGUGGUUUAAUUCGAUGCAACGCGAAGAACCUUACCUGGCCUUGACAUACAGAGAACUUUCCAGAGAUGGAUUGGUGCCUUCGGGAACUCUGAUACAGGUGCUGCAUGGCUGUCGUCAGCUCGUGUCGUGAGAUGUUGGGUUAAGUCCCGCAACGAGCGCAACCCUUUUCCUUAUUUGCCAGCACUUCGGGUGGGAACUUUAAGGAUACUGCCAGUGACAAACUGGAGGAAGGCGGGGACGACGUCAAGUCAUCAUGGCCCUUACGGCCAGGGCUACACACGUGCUACAAUGGUCGGUACAAAGGGUUGCUACACAGCGAUGUGAUGCUAAUCUCAAAAAGCCGAUCGUAGUCCGGAUUGGAGUCUGCAACUCGACCCCAUGAAGUCGGAAUCGCUAGUAAUCACGGAUCAGAAUGCCGCGGUGAAUACGUUCCCGGGCCUUGUACACACCGCCCGUCACGCCAUGGGAGUUUGUUGCACCAGAAGUAGGUAGUCUAACCGCAAGGAGGACGCUUACCACGGUGUGGCCGAUGACUGGGGUG
rnacentral:rRNA from 1 species